GAUGAACGCUGGCGGCGUGCCUAAUACAUGCAAGUCGAGCGAACAGACGAGGAGCUUGCUCCUCUGACGUUAGCGGCGGACGGGUGAGUAACACGUGGAUAACCUACCUAUAAGACUGGGAUAACUUCGGGAAACCGGAGCUAAUACCGGAUAAUAUAUUGAACCGCAUGGUUCAAUAGUGAAAGACGGUUUUGCUGUAACUUAUAGAUGGAUCCGCGCCGCAUUAGCUGGUUGGUAAGGUAACGGGUUACCAAGGCAACGAUGCGUAGCCGAACGGAGAGAGGGAUAGCCCGCCUUGGAGCUGGAACACGGACAAGAGUCCUGCGAGAGGCACCAGUCGGGAAUGGGCGGCAGUAGGGGAGAGCCUGACGGAACGACGGGACGUGAGUGACAAAGGUCUUGCGAUCGUAAAGACCGGUUACUAGGGGAAAACAGAUGUGGAAGGUAACAAGCACGUAGUGACGGUAACGGAUCAGAAAGCAACGGCUAACUACGUG
rnacentral:rRNA from 1 species